AUUGAACGCUGGCGGCAGGCCUAACACAUGCAAGUCGAACGAGUGGCGGACGGGUUAGUAAUGUCUGGGAAACUGCCUGAUGGAGGGGGAUAACUACUGGAAACGGUCGCUAAUACCGCAUACUAUCAGAUGAGCCCAGUUCGGAUUAGCUAGUUGGUGGGGUAACGGCUCACCAAGGCGACGAUCCCUACCUGGUCUGAGAGGAUGAUCAGUCACACUGGAACUGAGACACGGUCCAGACUCCUACGGGAGGCAGCAGUGGGGAAUAUUGCACAAUGGGCGAAAGCCUGAUCCAGCCAUGCCGCGUGUAUGAAGAAGGGCUUCGGGUUGUAAAGUACUUUAAGGUGGGAGGCGUUACCAACAGAAUAAGCACCGGCUAACUUCGUGCCAGCAGCCGCGGUAAUUC
rnacentral:rRNA from 1 species